GGGUUGUGAGGUUAAGCGACUAAGCGUACACGGUGGAUGCCCUGGCAGUCAGAGGCGAUGAAGGGCGUGCUAAUCUGCGAUAAGCGCCGGUAAGGUGAUAUGAACCGUUAUAACCGGCGAUACCCGAAUGGGGAAACCCAGUGUGACUCGUCACACUAUCAUUAACUGAAUCCAUAGGUUAAUGAGGCGAACCGGGGGAACUGAAACAUCUAAGUACCCCGAGGAAAAGAAAUCAACCGAGAUUCCCCCAGUAGCGGCGAGCGAACGGGGAGGAGCCCAGAGCCUGAAUCAGCAUGUGUGUUAGUGGAAGCGUCUGGAAAGGCGCGCGAUACAGGGUGACAGCCCCGUACACAAAAGCGCAUGUGCUGUGAGCUCGAUGAGUAGGGCGGGACACGUGGUAUCCUGUCUGAAUAUGGGGGACCAUCCUCCAAGGCUAAAUACUCCUGACUGACCGAUAGUGAACCAGUACCGUGAGGGAAAGGCGAAAAGAACCCCGGCGAGGGGAGUGAAAAAGAACCUGAAACCGUGUACGUACAAGCAGUGGGAGCACCCUUUGGGGUGUGACUGCGUACCUUUUGUAUAAUGGGUCAGCGACUUAUAUUCUGUAGCAAGGUUAACCGUAUAGGGGAGCCGUAGGGAAACCGAGUCUUAACCGGGCGUUAAGUUGCAGGGUAUAGACCCGAAACCCGGUGAUCUAGCCAUGGGCAGGUUGAAGGUUGGGUAACACUAACUGGAGGACCGAACCGACUAAUGUUGAAAAAUUAGCGGAUGACCUGUGGCUGGGGGUGAAAGGCCAAUCAAACCGGGAGAUAGCUGGUUCUCCCCGAAAGCUAUUUAGGUAGCGCCUCGUGAAUUCAUCUCCGGGGUAGAGCACUGUUUCGGCUAGGGGCCAUCCCGGCUUACCAACCCGAUGCAAACUGCGAAUACCGGAGAAUGUUAUCACGGGAGACACACGGCGGGUGCUAACGUCCGUCGUGAAGAGGGAAACAACCCAGACCGCCAGCUAAGGUCCCAAAGUCAUGGUUAAGUGGGAAACGAUGUGGGAAGGCCCAGACAGCCAGGAUGUUGGCUUAGAAGCAGCCAUCAUUUAAAGAAAGCGUAAUAGCUCACUGGUCGAGUCGGCCUGCGCGGAAGAUGUAACGGGGCUAAACCAUGCACCGAAGCUGCGGCAGCGACGCUGAUGCGUUGUUGGGUAGGGGAGCGUUCUGUAAGCCUGCGAAGGUGACCUGUGAGGGUUGCUGGAGGUAUCAGAAGUGCGAAUGCUGACAUAAGUAACGAUAAAGCGGGUGAAAAGCCCGCUCGCCGGAAGACCAAGGGUUCCUGUCCAACGUUAAUCGGGGCAGGGUGAGUCGACCCCUAAGGCGAGGCCGAAAGGCGUAGUCGAUGGGAAACGGGUUAAUAUUCCCGUACUUGGUGUUACUGCGAAGGGGGACGGAGAAGGCUAUGUUGGCCGGGCGACGGUUGUCCCGGUUUAAGCGUGUAGGUGUGUGUUCCAGGUAAAUCCGGUUCACUUUAACACUGAGGCGUGAUGACGAGGCACUACGGUGCUGAAGCAACAAAUGCCCUGCUUCCAGGAAAAGCCUCUAAGCAUCAGGUAACAUCAAAUCGUACCCCAAACCGACACAGGUGGUCAGGUAGAGAAUACCAAGGCGCUUGAGAGAACUCGGGUGAAGGAACUAGGCAAAAUGGUGCCGUAACUUCGGGAGAAGGCACGCUGACACGUAGGUGAAGUGAUUUACUCACGGAGCUGAAGUCAGUCGAAGAUACCAGCUGGCUGCAACUGUUUAUUAAAAACACAGCACUGUGCAAACACGAAAGUGGACGUAUACGGUGUGACGCCUGCCCGGUGCCGGAAGGUUAAUUGAUGGGGUCAGCGCAAGCGAAGCUCCUGAUCGAAGCCCCGGUAAACGGCGGCCGUAACUAUAACGGUCCUAAGGUAGCGAAAUUCCUUGUCGGGUAAGUUCCGACCUGCACGAAUGGCGUAAUGAUGGCCAGGCUGUCUCCACCCGAGACUCAGUGAAAUUGAACUCGCUGUGAAGAUGCAGUGUACCCGCGGCAAGACGGAAAGACCCCGUGAACCUUUACUAUAGCUUGACACUGAACAUUGAGCCUUGAUGUGUAGGAUAGGUGGGAGGCUUUGAAGUGUGGACGCCAGUCUGCAUGGAGCCGACCUUGAAAUACCACCCUUUAAUGUUUGAUGUUCUAACGUGGACCCGUUACCCGGGUUGCGGACAGUGUCUGGUGGGUAGUUUGACUGGGGCGGUCUCCUCCUAAAGAGUAACGGAGGAGCACGAAGGUUGGCUAAUCCUGGUCGGACAUCAGGAGGUUAGUGCAAUGGCAUAAGCCAGCUUGACUGCGAGCGUGACGGCGCGAGCAGGUGCGAAAGCAGGUCAUAGUGAUCCGGUGGUUCUGAAUGGAAGGGCCAUCGCUCAACGGAUAAAAGGUACUCCGGGGAUAACAGGCUGAUACCGCCCAAGAGUUCAUAUCGACGGCGGUGUUUGGCACCUCGAUGUCGGCUCAUCACAUCCUGGGGCUGAAGUAGGUCCCAAGGGUAUGGCUGUUCGCCAUUUAAAGUGGUACGCGAGCUGGGUUUAGAACGUCGUGAGACAGUUCGGUCCCUAUCUGCCGUGGGCGCUGGAGAACUGAGGGGGGCUGCUCCUAGUACGAGAGGACCGGAGUGGACGCAUCACUGGUGUUCGGGUUGUCAUGCCAAUGGCACUGCCCGGUAGCUAAAUGCGGAAGAGAUAAGUGCUGAAAGCAUCUAAGCACGAAACUUGCCCCGAGAUGAGUUCUCCCUGAGACUUAAAGUCUCCUGAAGGAACGUUGAAGACGACGACGUUGAUAGGCCGGGUGUGUAAGCGCAGCGAUGCGUUGAGCUAACCGGUACUAAUGAACCGUGAGGCUUAACCUUACAACGCCGAAG
rnacentral:rRNA from 2 species